UAUUAGUUCUAGAGGUGGAGAAACCCGAGCAGGCUCCGGGAUUCUGAUAAGAGCAACCGUGCCUGCCGCCACAACUUCGGCCCCUGCGGGCAAAGACGGUCGCUAGGGAGGAGAGUGGAGGUGGAGGGUACCCAGACUGCUGCCCGCUGCAUGGCUGACUGGCUUUCACGGUCGUCUGCAGAGGCAGGACGGAGACGGCCGUUGCUAUUGCGGAAAGAGGCUCCACGGAGGGACAGCCACCUCAGGGUGGCGCUCCUCAGUGGCAGGCUCCUCGGGUGGGCGUUGCCUCCCACAGGCCUGAAAGCAGGUGGAGUUUGCGAGUGUGAAGACUCCGGUUGGAAAAGAAAAUCUUGGUGUCUUUGUGCAGAGACCCCUCCCCCUAGGUAAAGACGGAACUAAGCCACCAAGAAAGAUGAUGUGAGUUAUUGUCUAACAAUAUGUGAAAACGUAGUGGUGUGGUUCCCUCAGGUAAUCACACUUUGAACUUUCUAGAGGAAAUAAAAGCUGUAUAUUUUCAAUCUUAA